AUGCAAAAGUUUUUCUCUUCUAUUGUAGGAAAUAAAAAUUUUGACUAUAAAAUAAAUUAUUUGUUGUCCCAAUCAUUUGUUAAGAGUAGUAUAAUCAUUAAAGGUAGUAAUAAUUUUAUUUUUUUAUUUCCCAAAUGUUUUGGAACUUAUGGCGCAGUAACUAAGAAAAGGCAAGAACGAAGAGAAAAGUUAUAUGAGGAAAAAUAUAAGCAUAAUCCUAAUAACAUUCCUAAAUAUUCAAAGGUUAAAAGAGGGAGUAGAGGAGGGUGGAUACAUAAUCCAUUAAAAGAAUUAACAAAAAACAAUGGAACUAAUUUUAUGUAUGAACAGAAAAUUAAUGAAGAAAUUAGUGAAAAAGAAAAAGCGUGUAUAAAUACUCUUAUAAAUUUUAGAAAAAAAAUUACAAAUAGCAAUCAUAAUGUUGAUACUAUUAUAGAUAUUAACAAAUUUGGUAAUAAUAUUACUGAGCGUACUGCUGUACAUAACAUUAAGAAUAACAAUACCGAUUCAUACGAUAUAGCUAAUUCUAAUAGUGACCAUAUGUUAGGUCUAAAAGAAUUGCCUAAUGCGGAUUUGUUUACAGUAUGUGAAAAUUUUAUUGAUAGUAAAAAGCAAAUUAUUCAAAAAAUAGAGAAUCCAGACCAUUUUGUGAACACGCAUAUAAAAUCUUUAGUUAAUGAGUACACAAACAUAAACCAUUUGCAUGAAGAUAUGAAUGUUUAUAAAUAUGCAAAGGUACCAGACUAUUUAAAAAAGGAUAAAGACGAUAGUAAUGUAACAAACAAACAUAUAUCGGACUCUCUCGAUUUGAAUGAACAAAAUGACAGUAUUAAACAUGGAAUGUGGAGUGAUAAACAUGAUAUAGUAACAGGUAUAAACAUACACAGCGCUAAACAAAUAGAUGCUAAAAACAAAGAUAUAUGUAACUCUGAAAAAAUAAGAAGUAAAACUAAAUUUAUAGAUAAAAAAAAAAAUACCAAUAAGCUUGAUUAUAAUUUUAAUCGAAUGAAUAAGAAUGCAUUAAAUGAACAGAGUAUAAAGGAUGGUAAUGAUUUUAUGUACAUUUCUGAUGAUACGGAACAAUUAGAAAUAGAUUUAAUGAACAAGUAUAAUAAUAUUGAUAAUAAGUGUAGCAAUAAAAAUACACAGAACGUUAACAUAAACAUGGAGGAACAACGGGAAAAUUCAAAUGAUGCACUUGAUGAUAAUACAUUAAAAAAUAUGUAUAUAGAUAAUUUUUUAAAUUAUUCUGAUGAUGAAACUAAUUUGGAUAUUACUUGUUUAGAUGUGUUUACUGCUUUAAAUACGAUCGAUAGAAAUAAAAAAUUAAGUUUAUUUUUUAAAACAAUAAAAGAUACGUCGUUUAUUUUUUAUAAUAAUUGUAUUAUCCCUUCUAAAUUUGGUAAAGGUACAUUAAACGAAUAUUUUCAUACAAGAAAGAAAUGUAGUUUAUUUGAUAAAUCAUAUCAACAAAUAAUAAAAUUUUAUGGUAGUGAUUGUUUUUAUAUAUGUAAUCAGUUUAUCUCAUGUAAUUUAUAUGAAAUGUAUAAUUCUGAUGUAAGUUAUACAUGUAUAUUAGAUAACAAGGCGUAUAUUAUAGAUACGGGUUAUGUACUAAAAGGAAAAAAUGAAAUAAUAUUAAUUACAUCAGGGUAUUAUAAAAAGGGUGUGUAUGAAUAUUUAAGUGAUUAUAUUUUAUUUUGUAGAGAUAGUGGAAUGGAUGUACAUAUAGAAGCUAUGCUUAACAAAAGAAUAAUAUCAAUACAAGGACCGUUAAGUAAUUUAGCUUUUAAUGACAUUUUAGAUUUUUACGAUUAUAAUAAUAAACAAAAAAAAAUAAAAUUAACAUAUUUAAAAAAUGUUAUAGAAGAUGCUGACAACAGCAUCAACCAUAAUGAGACUAAAAGUCCAGACGAUAGUAACAUUACGGAGCAUAUGUUAUAUUUU
rnacentral:lncRNA from 1 species